CUGAAUGCUACAAUGAUAUUCUGAAACCACUACUCUUAACGCAAGUCUGAAUGCUACAUUAUUCAUCAGAUGCUACAGUACUAAUUUUGAAAAUUAAAACCAAAAGAAUUGAAAAUUGCUUCUCGUUCCUCUAUUCCUUCCCAAAACCCACCCAACCCUUCUUCAGAACCCAGAACCCACCCAGCACUCCUCUCCACCGCCGUCGAAGGUGAAAUAUCCAUCUACCAUAAGCACUCCAGAAAUCAAUCUCCCACACUAACUCUAUUUCUCUCUCUCUCUCCGCCCCAAUGUAGCUCCCAGGCUGAGGCUCCUCUUCUCUUAGGGUCACACCUCUCCGGUGUGGCCACCGUUCAACGGUGCCUUUGAAGGUGAAGUUGUGUGUGUGUGUGUAUGUGUGUGUGUGUGUGUCUCUCUCUCUCUCUACGUCUCAGAUUUGGGAGGUUUGGGCGAAAUCACACGAGGUCUACCGCCACUCCCGCACAGUUGACCACCCUAUUGAGCCGCUAGCUUUGAUGUUGCAAAAUGUCUACAAAUUAUGUGUUAAGCUCAACUACUCAGACUGAUUUACUAGUUCAGCAAGCAGCAUUUAAGCAAAGGUCAACAAUGGACAUCGAGGCUACCCGACAUCUUAAUGGAUUUGAGAAUGAAGCACGCAAAAUCAAUAAUUCUCAUGCAUAAAUAAAGGGCUGCACUUAUAAUGUCUUGAAAUUUUUUUUUAGUUGUAUUAAUAUGGUUGCUACUUUAAUUUAACUACUUCGAACCAUCUUGAAAAUCUUGCUGGUUUUUUGGUUGAAAAUAUUGUAUAUGUUGCUACUUGAAAAUAUUAUGUUUGGUAUGCGGACUCUGAUAUGAUGAAAAUAUUAUGUUUGGCUUGUACUUGUUUUUUACAAGCAGUCUCAA